UUACUUGCUUUAGCAAUAUAUAAACUAAAACUGGAACAAUACAGCAAAAAUUAGCAUGGCCCCUGCACAAGGAUGACACUGAAAUUUGUAAAGCAUUCCAUAUUUUA